rnacentral:lncRNA from 1 species
UCGCCGCUACCAUCGCCGCCGCUGCCGCUGCCACCUUUUUUUUCUAGGAAAAGCCGCGAAAAGAUUGCUCUUCGUAUAAUCCGGCUGCUAUAAACAAAUAGAUAAACAAAUUGCGAUUCAAUUGCAAACGUAUAACGAUGUUCUGGUUUAGACAAAGGGACAAAGAAAUUACCGAUGAUAUAUAAUAGAUCAUUGGCUGCGCGGGAUCACAGUAGAAAGUCUAAUGAAUCGAAUGUGAGAGAAAGCCGGCGCGAUUGCAUACAAAAAAGAACGUGAAGUGUUGCAUGUGCCGAUAUUGACAGGUGUCAUUUAUAACGGUGCUCCACCCCUGUUCCUAUUGAUAAUACAAGGAAUACGUGUAGUACACUGCUAAAAAGGAAAAAAACUUUGUGGCGUUACAAUGAGAGAUACCAAGAUACCGAGUCAUUGUAAAUAAUGUGGCGCUAGAUUAAUAGAUAAUAAGAUAUGCAGUUGUCAACCACUCGAAAUGUUAAUAAGUUCUCCGUUACGGAACGUGACGAAUUAUCCACCGGUGAACGUGGCAAAUUAUUUUUUGAAGAGAUAUUACAUCCCGAUUGCUCACAAUUUUGUGAAGAGACGCAAACCCCGACUAAAAUAAUUCCGGAGGCAUCCCGCUUCUCGAUUUCUAUCAAAAUAUUUCUGGAGACAUGUGUAUAUCACUAUUACCGAAGAAUUGCGUAUAAUUUAUCGUCAGAUGUCCUUUAUGGAAAGGGCAAAUAAUUCGUUCUCGCUAAACGACAGUAGUCUAUGGUAAAAUUUCGUGAACACGAAUGUUAUAAUGACAUAGAAUUGUUCAUUUACAAUUACGUACAAUAUAAUUUCUUACAGGGAAUUUUCUACUGUUCAUUAGCCAUGUGCAAAAA